UGAGUAACGCGUGAGCAACCUGCCCUUCAGUGGGGGACAACGGCUGGAAACGGCCGCUAAUACCGCAUAACGUGUGGAGUCCGCAUGGACAUCACACCAAAGGAGUAAUUCGCUGAAGGAUGGGCUCGCGUCCGAUUAGCUAGUUGGUGAGGUAACGGCCCACCAAGGCGACGAUCGGUAGCCGAACUGAGAGGUUGAUCGGCCGCAUUGGGACUGAGACACGGCCCAGACUCCUACGGGAGGCAGCAUG
rnacentral:rRNA from 1 species